AUUGAACGCUGGCGGCAGGCCUAACACAUGCAAGUCGAGCGGUAGCACAGAGAGCUUGCUCUCGGGUGACGAGCGGCGGACGGGUGGGUAAUGUCUGGGAAACUGCCUGAUGGAGGGGGAUAACUACUGGAAACGGUAGCUAAUACCGCAUAACGUCGCAAGACCAAAGCGGGGGACCUUCGGGCCUCUUGCCAUCAGAUGUGCCCAGAUGGGAUUAGCUAGUAGGUGGGGUAACGGCUCACCUAGGCGACGAUCCCUAGCUGGCCUGAGAGGAUGACCAGCCACACUGGAACUGAGACACGGUCCAGACUCCUACGGGAGGCAGCAGUGGGGAAUAUUGCACAAUGGGCGCAAGCCUGAUGCAGCCAUGCCGCGUGUAUGAAGAAGGCCUUCGGGUUGUAAAGUACUUUCAGCGGGGAGGAAGGUGUUGAGGUUAAUAACCUCAGCAAUUGACAUUACCCGCAGAAGAAGCACCGGCUAACUCCGUGCCAGCCGCCGCGGUAA
rnacentral:rRNA from 1 species